UUGACCUCGAAUCAGGUAGGAAUACCCGCUGAACUUAAGCAUAUCAAUAAGCGGAGGAAAAGAAACCAACCGGGAUUACCUCAGUAACGGCGAGUGAAGCGGUAACAGCUCAAAUUUGAAAUCUGGCUCUUCCGGAGUCCGAGUUGUAAUUUGUAGAAGAUGCUUUGGGUUGUGGGUUCGGCCUAAGUUCCUUGGAACAGGACGUCAUAGAGGGUGAGAAUCCCGUAUGUGGCCGAGGCCCGCGCCUAUGUAAAGCUCUUUCAACGAGUCGAGUUGUUUGGGAAUGCAGCUCAAAAUGGGUGGUAAAUUUCAUCUAAAGCUAAAUAUGGGCCAGAGACCGAUAGCGCACAAGUAGAGUGAUCGAAAGAUGAAAAGCACUUUGGAAAGAGAGUUAAACAGUACGUGAAAUUGUUGAAAGGGAAGCGCUUGCAACCAGACUUGGGCGCUGUCGAUCACCCCGAGUUCUCUCGAGUGCACUCGACAGCGCACAGGCCAGCAUCGGUUCGGGUGGCUGGAUAAAGGCCGUAGGAACGUGGCUCCCUUCGGGGAGUGUUAUAGCCUACGGUGCCAUGCAGCCCAGCCGGACCGAGGACCGCGCCUUCGGGCUAGGAUGCUGGCGUAAUGGUUGUAAGCGACCCGUCUUGAAACACGGACCAAGGAGUCUAACAUCUAUGCGAGUGUUUGGGUGGUAAACCCAUACGCGGAAUGAAAGUGAACGUAGGU
rnacentral:rRNA from 1 species